CCUACGGGUGGCAGCAGUGAGGAAUAUUGGUCAAUGGGCGAGAGCCUGAACCAGCCAAGUCGCGUGAGGGAGUACUGCCCUAUGGGUUGUAAACCUCUUUUGUCGGGGAGCAAAAGCCGGACGUGUCCGGCUGUGAGAGUACCCGAAGAAAAAGCAUCGGCUAACUCCGUGCCAGCAGCCGCGGUAAUACGGGGGAUGCGAGCGUUAUCCGGUUUUAUUGGGUUUAAAGGGUGCGCAGGCGGAUUUUUAAGUCAGCGGUAAAAUCGUGGGGCUCAACCCCAUCCAGCCGUUGACACUGGGGAUCUAGAGUGUGCGAGAGGUAUGCGGAAUGCGUGGUGUAGCGGUGAAAUGCAUAGAUAUCACGCAGAACCCCGAUUGCGAAGGCAGCAUACCGGUGCACAACUGACGCUCAGGCACGAAAGCGUGGGUAUCGAACAGGAUUAGAUACCCCAGUAGUC
rnacentral:rRNA from 1 species